rnacentral:lncRNA from 1 species
AUCAUCCAAAACAGAAACCCUGUACCUAUUAAACAAUCACUCCCCGUUACUCUCCUACCCCUCAACCUAUGCUCGCACAUCCCCUGCCAGCCCAUGGUAACCACCAACCGACUUUUUGUCACUAUGCAUUUGACUAUUCCAGGUACUGUAUAUGAGUGAAAUCAUAUGAUGUUAGGCCUAUUUCACUUAGGAUUAGGUCUUCAAGAUUCUUGUGCUCUUCUGGGUCUAACUAUUCAUUAAACAAUCCAUUGAUCGCAGUAUUCAACCUGUGCACUGAACUAGCAAUAAUAUCUGUACCUCCUAACACAAAGAUGAAUAUUGUAUCCAAGUGGGAAAGUGGAGUCCACACUGAAGAUUGUG